rnacentral:lncRNA from 1 species
UGGGUACCACCAUAGCUCAUUCACUAUGGCUUGCCAACUCUUCGGAGAUGGGAGCCAACUGGCAAGUCAACUCGUACUAAUGGAACCUUAGCAGGAUGAGGAAGGAAGGAAGGAGCCAGGAUGAAUCCAUUACUUAAAAGACUCCAAACCACAGUUUCUCGUAAAAUGAUCACCAUCCAGAAGCCAGUUGCCGCAGAUUAUCAUGCCUGACGUUUGGAUGGUUCAUUGAUCAAUCGCAAAGCAAGUGCUCAGAAUAUGUCUAAAAAAAAAAUUGAUAUUACCAGUUUCCAAGGCAGAGUUGGUGUGGCAUGUGUCUGUCGGCAGUAAAAAGUAUCGUACCACUCCAUCUAAUGGCAAAUAAGAAAAGAUAUAUACUAGUACUAUCUGCUGCUGCUUAGGUUGGAUUCAGCACAAAAAUCCAUAUCUGAUCAUUUCUUCUUUUUUGGGAGUAAUCAAUUUGAUGUGGUGAAUCAGGACCGAGUCGUCUGUAAUGCAAUUAAUUUUGGUUAGCAGGCAGGCCCUCCUCAGGCGAGGUAGCUGCCACCACAUUAGUCGCCACUUUAACUCUCGUCUGGUGUCUCUAUAUAAACAACCGUAGUUGGAUGCUGCUAGUCGCUCACUCACUGGCAAACUUCUCCAAGUUCUUUAGUUCCUAAGCAAGCAAAUGGCCUUAAAAGUAGUUAUGCUUCUGGCAUUAUCCUCUUUUUUCCUAAUCACAACAAGGGUAUACCUCAUUUACACUUCUACUGUAGUGUAUAUAUUUCAUGCAUUUGUUAUUUCUAACUGCUAAGCUUUUGUUCUUCAUGGUUCCCUGAAUUUUAACUUCCGUCUCUAAUUAAAUGUCUUUUUCCUGCCUUCAUUGACUCAAAGGUUUCAUCGUGGGGCGAGGAACUCUUUGUCAAGGUAACGCUCAGACAAUUUUCAGCUCCUUACUCCUCUUCUGCAAAUAAACUGCGAAAAAUAGCUAAAGGAAAACACUUCGACGGGGUUGAUUGAUGCCCAUUUUUUUCUGUAAAAUCGGCUCACAGCUUAUCACUUAGCAUUAUCACUUGUACAGUACAAGAGUGGCUGUGAAGCACUCCCAUUCUUCGGUAGGGCAUGACAAAUAAAAGAUCUGUUAUAUGCUAGCAUGCCUUCUCCGCAGAAGUUAAAAGAGACCUUUACUUCGUAUUGUUUAACAUCGAGUGUAAGUGUUCUCAUGACUUGCAGAGAACGUAGAAAGUCCACCGUCUUUAUCUUUGUUUUUCUUUUUGUU